UACGUAGGGGGCUAGCGUUGUCCGGAAUCAUUGGGUCGUAAAGAGCGUGUAGGCGGUCCGGUAAGUCCGCUGUGAAAGUCGGGGGCUCAACCCUCGAAUGCCGGUGGAUACUGUCGGGCUAGAGUGCGGUAGGGGAGAUUGGAAUUCCUGGUGUAGCGGUGGAAAUGCGCAGAUAUCAGGAGGAACACCGAUGGUCGAAGGCAGAUCUCUGGGCCGUAACUGACGCUGAGGAGCGAAAGCGUGGGGAGCGAACAGGA
rnacentral:rRNA from 1 species